AGAGUUUGAUCAUGGCUCAGAUUGAACGCUGGCGGCAGGCCUAACACAUGCAAGUCGAGCGGUAGAGAGAAGCUUGCUUCUCUUGAGAGCGGCGGACGGGUGAGUAAUGCCUAGGAAUCUGCCUGGUAGUGGGGGAUAACGCUCGGAAACGGACGCUAAUACCGCAUACGUCCUACGGGAGAAAGCAGGGGACCUUCGGGCCUUGCGCUAUCAGAUGAGCCUAGGUCGGAUUAGCUAGUUGGUGAGGUAAUGGCUCACCAAGGCGACGAUCCGUAACUGGUCUGAGAGGAUGAUCAGUCACACUGGAACUGAGACACGGUCCAGACUCCUACGGGAGGCAGCAGCGGGGAAUAUUGGACAAUGGGCGAAAGCCUGAUCCAGCCAUGCCGCGUGUGUGAAGAAGGUCUUCGGAUUGUAAAGCACUUUAAGUUGGGAGGAAGGGCAUUAACCUAAUACGUUAGUGUUUUGACGUUACCGACAGAAUAAGCACCGGCUAACUCUGUGCCAGCAGCCGCGGUAAUACAGAGGGUGCAAGCGUUAAUCGGAAUUACUGGGCGUAAAGCGCGCGUAGGUGGUUCGUUAAGUUGGAUGUGAAAUCCCCGGGCUCAACCUGGGAACUGCAUUCAAAACUGACGAGCUAGAGUAUGGUAGAGGGUGGUGGAAUUUCCUGUGUAGCGGUGAAAUGCGUAGAUAUAGGAAGGAACACCAGUGGCGAAGGCGACCACCUGGACUGAUACUGACACUGAGGUGCGAAAGCGUGGGGAGCAAACAGGAUUAGAUACCCUGGUAGUCCACGCCGUAAACGAUGUCAACUAGCCGUUGGGAGCCUUGAGCUCUUAGUGGCGCAGCUAACGCAUUAAGUUGACCGCCUGGGGAGUACGGCCGCAAGGUUAAAACUCAAAUGAAUUGACGGGGGCCCGCACAAGCGGUGGAGCAUGUGGUUUAAUUCGAAGCAACGCGAAGAACCUUACCAGGCCUUGACAUCCAAUGAACUUUCCAGAGAUGGAUUGGUGCCUUCGGGAACAUUGAGACAGGUGCUGCAUGGCUGUCGUCAGCUCGUGUCGUGAGAUGUUGGGUUAAGUCCCGUAACGAGCGCAACCCUUGUCCUUAGUUACCAGCACGUAAUGGUGGGCACUCUAAGGAGACUGCCGGUGACAAACCGGAGGAAGGUGGGGAUGACGUCAAGUCAUCAUGCCCCUUACGGCCUGGGCUACACACGUGCUACAAUGGUCGGUACAGAGGGUUGCCAAGCCGCGAGGUGGAGCUAAUCCCACAAAACCGAUCGUAGUCCGGAUCGCAGUCUGCAACUCGACUGCGUGAAGUCGGAAUCGCUAGUAAUCGCGAAUCAGAAUGUCGCGGUGAAUACGUUCCCGGGCCUUGUACACACCGCCCGUCACACCAUGGGAGUGGGUUGCACCAGAAGUAGCUAGUCUAACCUUCGGGAGGACGGUUACCACGGUGUGAUUCAUGACUGGGGUGAAGUCGGAACAAGGUA
rnacentral:rRNA from 1 species